GACGAACGCUGGCGGCGUGCUUAACACAUGCAAGUCGUACGGUAAGGCCCUUUCGGGGGUACACGAGUGGCGAACGGGUGAGUAACACGUGAGUAACCUGCCCACAACUUUGGGAUAACGCUAGGAAACUGGUGCUAAUACUGGAUAUGUGCUCCUGCUGCAUGGUGGGGGUUGGAAAGCUCCGGCGGUUGUGGAUGGACUCGCGGCCUAUCAGCUUGUUGGUGGGGUAGUGGCCUACCAAGGCGGCGACGGGUAGCCGGCCUGAGAGGGUGACCGGCCAAAUUGGGAUGGGAAUACGGCCCAGACUCCUCCGGGGGGCAGCAGUGGGGAAUAUUGCACAAGGGGCGCAAGCCUGAGGCAGCAACGCCGCGGGCGGGAUGACGGCCUUCGGGUUGUAAACCGCUUUCAGCAGGGACGAAGCUUUUUGUGACGGUACCUGCAGAAGAAGCACCGGCUAACUACGG
rnacentral:rRNA from 1 species